GCGGCUCUUCGCAUUGGCGGGGUGUGGAACCCUUUCAUAAACGAGUGCUGGCCAAGGAGGAUGCUCGCUGGUCAAUAUUCCAGUUUAAAGGACCUGCAAGUUGACUUUGGAGGUUCCAAACCAGGAAAUGCAGACGAAUGGUUUUUUACAAAUGGAUGCCACAUCCGGUCCACGAGAAGUGACCCAUCCGCCAAAGGUGUGCGCGUGAAGCUGUAGGCGAGUCUGG